rnacentral:rRNA from 1 species
UACGAAGGGGGCUAGCGUUGUUCGGAAUUACUGGGCGUAAAGCGCGCGCAGGCGGUCUUCCAAGUCAGUGGUGAAAGCCCGGAGCUCAACUCCGGAACUGCCAUUGAAACUGUUAGACUUGAGGAUGAGAGAGGUGAGUGGAAUUCCCAGUGUAGAGGUGAAAUUCGUAGAUAUUAGGAAGAACACCGGUGGCGAAGGCGGCUCACUGGCUCAUAUCUGACGCUCAGGCGCGACAGCGUGGGGAUCAAACAGG